ACGGGAGGCAGCAGUGAGGAAUAUUGGUCAAUGGGCGGAAGCCUGAACCAGCCAAGUCGCGUGAAGGAAGAAGGUCCUAUGGAUUGUAAACUUCUUUAGCCGGGGAGCAAUAAUCGCUACGCGUAGCGAGAUGCGAGUACCCGGAGAAUAAGGAUCGGCUAACUCCGUGCCAGCAGCCGCGGUAAUACGGAGGAUCCGAGCGUUAUCCGGAUUUAUUGGGUUUAAAGGGUGCGCAGGCGGUCGAUUAAGUCAGUGGUCAAAUCGUGAGGCUCAACCUCAUCCCGCCAUUGAUACUGGUUGACUUGAUUCCGGUCGAGGCAGGCGGAAUUCGUAGUGUAGCGGUGAAAUGCAUAGAUAUUACGAAGAACCCCGAUUGCGUAGGCAGCUUACCAGGCCGGCAAUGACGCUCAUGCACGAAAGUGCGGGGAUCGAACAGGAUUAGAUACCCUGGUA
rnacentral:rRNA from 1 species